GGCGCGGAGCGGCGAGGAGGAGGAGCCCGGGAGGAGAGCGAGGAGGGCGAGGCGGGGGAGGGGGCCGGAGGGAAGCGCUGGCUAGGAACCGAGGGCUCCUCGCUAAAGUGCCCUCAACGCCGGGAAGCGUCCACAGGACCCGGUGCCGGGAGACGGCUAGGAGGCCGCUCAGGGAAGCACGACGACUUCAACGAUGACGCAAGAGUCAUGCAAAAUUAUACAUAUAUAUUGAAAGUCCACCCGGAAGGCAAGAGCCAUCCUAUCGGCCUCUAAGUGCACAAGGGAACUAGAAAUCAAAGAGAAAGAAAGGCCAAGAGGAUUAAAAAAAAUAAUUUAGAAGGCGUCCGGAGUGGGGGUGGGGGUCCUGAGCUGGAAGGCAGGGACUCCUGGUUUAUUGCUUAGUCUCCCCCACCACCCCCACACCUUUCACAGCACGAGCUUGAAUCAUUUUCUAUAAAACUGGUGACUAAGAGAGAGACAGCGUGUCGAACCGUUGAAGCACCCCCAACCAGCCAGAAAAGGGACUCCGGUCGCCGCAAAUGUACCUGUGCUCCCCCUGGAGGUGACAUUCUCCUAGGCCCCCUUUAGGUCUUAAGUGUCCCUCCUAGGGGAUUCUGUUGUGAUGUCUGAGAAGUGAUACCCUCACGUGCCUGUGAUCCAAGCAGCAUCCCCCGCCCCUCUGUCUGGCAUAGCAAGAAAACACCCGUCUGGCCAGGUCUGGUUCUCCAGCCAACACUGCUGCUUUGAACAUUGGGAAGUGGAGGUAAGAGUGCAUUCCACGCUGACACGGCACCGCACCCCUGUCCCCAGCUUGCUGACUUGAGGGAAAUUGCUUCCUUUCAUCGAUUCACAGCAUUAGAAAAUGCUGUGUUGAGAAGCAGCAUGGAGGUCAUUUGGACCAUGGCCCUUAGGUUUUAGGUGAGUAAACUGCUAAGAGAGGUGAUGUGGUUAUCCAAAGGCUUCCAGCUACUCUUGGCAUUCAAGGACUUGAUGCACAAUUUAGGAAAUGUGCAUCUCUAUGUCCAAUCUCCCAGGAAGACAUAAAGGGUUAUUGGAAAUUUCUUGUGGAUCCAUAUUAAGCAUCUCUCCAGAUCCCACCCAGUGCAUCUGAGAGUAGGUAUAUGCCGCCCUUAAUGCUGUGAGUUUGGAAGAUACUUUGUAUGCACUGGACGACAGGAAAAGUACAAUGCCUCAAAUUCAAGUGUUGCCACUUUUUCUUAAAAGGAAAGAGAGGAGGGCUUGUCUCACUAUUUGUUUGCAGUACCAUUUGCUCAGGCAGCAUUUUGAGGGCUAGUAUACUAGAAGGAGGAUCUACCAGAAGAAGUUAAGGAACUUCUGGAGGGCACUGAGCCAGAAGAGCUGAAUUUGGUCCCAGCUCUCACAUGAGUUAACAGUGUUACCUUGAGAAUGUCCCCAUGUCAGCCCUGACUGCUUUAGCUGGAGGACCAAACAGCCCUGGGCAGUAAACUUGCUUUCCCAGGGGCAAAGAAGAUGAUGCCCCAAUUGGUCAAAAUAAAAAAAACAAAGGCAGUUCUCAAAUGUUGGGAUUUGAGGAACAGGAAGGAAUUCUGUUUCUAAGCAUCUCAUAGGAUCUCUGCUUGCUUUUUUCCCUUUUGUUUGAACUGCAAGUGUUGAGACAGACACAGGUCUGUGUGAGAACAGAGAACUUUUCUACGUGGCCUUCUCCUUCUCUUUUCCCCCUACUCCCUCCUUCCUCUUCGUCAUUGAUUCAUUCAGUAUUCCGUUUAACAAGUGUGUAUUGAGGUCUACUAGAAGCCACACUUUAUUCCUGGACAGGGGACGAAGAGCUGGCAAGCCACAGUCACUGGAGGGGGAGCGGAAAGGAACUGAUGAGCAAACAGAUAAUUACUACAUAAUGUGAUUGGUGCUGUGGUAGAGAAUAAAGAACAGGCUUCUGGAAAUGCAGAGGAGGUGGUUGUGCAUAGCCUGGGUGUGCUAAAGGAUUUGUAGAAGCAGUGUCAUUGGUCUGGGGUUUAAAAGGCUAAUAGGAGAAAGGGGGAAAUGCCUGGAGGGUAAGUCAGUCCUGCUCCAUGACAAGAAGCAAAUACAACCUCCUGGUAAUGGUGAAUCAUCUAAGGUGAACAGAAGGCAGGGUUAGUGAUGCAUGGGAACCAUUUGUAUGUAACUGUGUGACAUAUGAUGCAGCCAGUCUAGGGGCUUCUGAAAGCCACAUGAAAGCCUCCUGAAGGCAGGACCCCUCUGGUUGGACAGUCUGUGCACUGUACAAAAGUGAAGGCUAGGACAAAGGACACCACUAAAGGGGAAAUCUGGCCCACAGCUCUGGCUCAAGGCUGUGUCCAUUACAAUAAAGAGCAUUUUUCUCUUUUUACAGAUGUGACUUCUCUUUGUCAAACUCUGUGCCCAUUGCGUGUGCAUCUACCCAGAGGGGUGACACUGCAUAGCAAGAGAUGAAGGCAGUACUGAGGCAAGCAGUGGUCGCAAAAGCAAGGAUGUGAUGGAUGGACGAGACAAGAAUUUGCAGUGCAAAUUGCCUUGUUCUGCACCCAGCCACUGUCCUGGGGAGUUGUUGGUUUAUCUCUCCGGAACACCACCAUUUGCUUCUGCUCAGUGUUCUUUCUGAUUUCAUCUCUGUAAUUGUGUGGUUUACAUGGAAGCUGCUCCUUAUACUUCUUGCCCUGAUACCUGUGGAUUGGCCCUAGGAGAGUACUAAUGUAAGAUGAGAUAAGCAAAACCCUUUCCUGAACAUUUUGAAUUUGAGAUUCACAAGAGUGUCCUCUCUGUUACAACUAAACUGGAUAAUGUGGCCCUGGAAGAUGUUGGCCAUUCAUGAAAUAGCCAAAUAGCCAAGAAAAUGAAACUAAAUUACAAAAAGAAGUAAAGAUGGAAAGAUGACCGAGGGUUGUGGCUCAGUGGUAGAGUGCUCAUCUAGCAAGUGAGAGGCACUGGGUUCAAUCCUUAGCACCACAUAAAAAUAAAUGAAAUAAAGGUAUUAUGUCCAUCUACAACUUUAAAAAAAUUAAUAAAGGAAAAAAUCUUGCCCAAAGUUACACAGCUAUUUCAAAAUGAUUUGUCGUCAAAGCUCAUACUGCUUGCCUUGUUCUAUACUGAUCAGGGACCAAAAAUUUUUGUAGGAAAGUAGCAAGUUCGUGUCUGUCAUUUGAGAACAUUCUGGGACUGAAGUAUAGAUGUGGAAAGUAGGAGAGUGAUGCGGAGAGAGAUCAUGUGAGUCUGAACCAAGCAUGGCCAUGAACAGGAAGAGGAGAGCAUGGGUUUCAGUUGUAUUUAAAUGAUAGAAUUCAUAGGGUUUCAUCACAGUGUGGAGAGGGUUUUCAUUACUACCUUCAUUACCACACUUCCAGGAGGACUGUUUCUUGACCCACUUAUUGAACAAAAGCCUGGGACUUUCUGUGAUCAUAUCAACUUCGUUCAUCCCUAAACCAAUCAUGGUGGCCAGCAAAAAGUCAGGUGGCUGUUGCCUUAGGCUAGGGGUACUGUCCAUCCCUAAACUCAUCAUGGUGACAAUUGGUCCUGAUUUGGUCCAUUAGUCAUUUCCACCCAGGCAUGAGAUUUCAUUCCUAUCCAGAUUCUAUGGUUCUUGCAAACGGGGUGACAGGUGUGUGCUGGGGGGCAUCUAUGCUGGGGAGGCAACCAGCAAUAUCCAUUAUACCUAGAUGUUGCCCACCUUUCAAUGUAUCUCCCCCCACCUAGCUACAAUGGAAAUAAAGGAUCUGAGGAGGAAGCCGAUGUCAAGGUAAGAAGGAUCCAUGUCAAAUCCAUGGUUUGUUCCAGAUAUCAGCCAGUUUUUCAGUACUGGAGUCCAUGCAGUCUCCAAAUCCCUCAUUCUAAGUCUACCUCCUCUUCUCUCUCUGGCCCUCCUUCUUAGAGAUUAUUG
rnacentral:tRNA from 1 species